AGUGACGAAGGCCUUCGGGUCGUAAAGCUCUGUUGUUAGGGAAGAACAAGUACCGUUCGAAUAGGGCGGUACCUUGACGGUACCUAACCAGAAAGCCACGGCUAACUACGUGCCAGCAGCCGCGGUAAUACGUAGGUGGCAAGCGUUGUCCGGAAUUAUUGGGCGUAAAGCGCGCGCAGGCGGUCUUUUAAGUCUGAUGUGAAAGCCCACGGCUCAACCGUGGAGGGUCAUUGGAAACUGGAGGACUUGAGUGCAGAAGAGGAGAGUGGAAUUCCACGUGUAGCGGUGAAAUGCGUAGAUAUGUGGAGGAACACCAGUGGCGAAGGCGGCUCUCUGGUCUGUAACUGACGCUGAGGCGCGAAAGCGUGGGGAGCAAACAGGAUUAGAUACCCUGGUAGUCCACGCCGUAAACGAUGAGUGCUAGGUGUUGGGGGGUUCCACCCUCAGUGCUGAAGUUAACACAUUAAGCACUCCGCCUGGGGAGUACGACCGCAAGGUUGAAACUCAAAGGAAUUGACGGGGGCCCGCACAAGCAGUGGAGCAUGUGGUUUAAUUCGAAGCAACGCGAAGAACCUUACCAGGUCUUGACAUCCUCUGACAAUCCUGGAGACAGGACGUUCCCCUUCGGGGGACAGAGUGACAGGUGGUGCAUGGUUGUCGUCAGCUCGUGUCGUGAGAUGUUGGGUUAAGUCCCGCAACGAGCGCAACCCUUGAUCUUAGUUGCCAGCAUUUAGUUGGGCACUCUAAGGUGACUGCCGGUGACAAACCGGAGGAAGGUGGGGAUGACGUCAAAUCAU
rnacentral:rRNA from 2 species